UUAUGAAGCCCAAUUGCCCAAGACAUCUCAUUUAAUUUAAUAGGCCCAUUUUUAUUAUUUGGAACCCAAACUACCAAGUCUCCCAAUUUAAUCUAUACGGCCCAAUUCUCUUUUUUUUUAGCCAACAAAAAGCCCAAUUUCCUCCUACCAUCUCCACGCCACCUCUCAUUCUCUUUUCUAUCUCUCUCUCUCGACGGAUGACUCUCUCGACGGAAGCAACGAUUUCAGAAGCUCGACGCCUUGAAGGAAUCAGAUCUGGCGUCACCUUCCGCCUCCGCCGUCGGGAAGGCUGCUGUCACUGCACCGAGCCGUCUCCAGCCACCGCGUCGCUGCUCCGCCGCGAAGGUGUGUUGCUGCCGCCAAUUCAGCCAUCGUCCAUCACCGAACCAACCUCGAACAGAUACCACGCAGCCCCAAUUAACCCCGAUUUCACCCGAAAGAUAAGUUCUCAUUCAAAAAGUGUUUCUGUUCGUUCUUAAUUUUCGGUUCGCAGCAAGGGGGGUUCCAAUUAGUAACAUUCGAUUGGUUUUGAAUGCUUGAUUGCUAAUGAUUAGUUCUUUGUUUGGGAGAUUGAUGCUGAGUAUGUGAUAAAUGGUGCAGAAUGCAGAAAUUCACGUUUUAAGAUUGGGUAGGAAAUAUACCUCUUUGAAUUGAAUUUGGAUUGUGAAGUUCACACGGCUGAAAAACAGGUUCUUGAAGCUGGAUAAUUUUGAUUACUGCCAAUAGCAACAAUUUGAUGUUAGAUUUUUUUGAAGCAGGAGAAAGUUUAGAUACAAACGAUAGACGUAGCUUACCUUGAAGGAGAAAGAUUGGUUGCAGAGAUUGCAGAGAUUGCAGAGGACGAUUGCUUACGGAGGAGGAAAAUUCCAUCACGGAGCAGGAUAAUCUACAUAAAAUCUUUAAUUAAAUAUUGAAUUAAAGAUAUUUUAUUUUAGUUGGUUUAGAUUAAUUCGCAGCCCAUUGUAUUUUAUUUUAAAUUGUGCAGUCCAUAAUUUAUUUAUCACGGACUA